GAUGAACGCUGGCGGCGUGCCUAAUACAUGCAAGUCGAGCGAACAGACGAGGAGCUUGCUCCUCUGACGUUAGCGGCGGACGGGUGAGUAACAGGUAGAUAACCUGCCGAUAGGACUGGGAUAACGUAGGGAAACCGGAGCUAAUACCGGAUAAUAUGUUGAACCGCAUGGUUCAAUAGUGAAAGACGGUUUUGAUGUCACUUAUACAUGGAACCGCGCCGCAUUAGCUAGUUGGUAAGGUAACGGCUUACCAAGGCAACGAUGCGUAGCCGACCUGAGAGGGCGACCAGCCACACUGGAACUGAGACACGGCCCAGACUCCUACGGGAGGCAGCAGUAGGGAAUUUUGCACAAUGGGCGAAAGCCUGACGGAGCAAUGCCGCGUGAGUGAUGAAGGUCUUCGGAUCGUAAAACACUGUUAUCAGGGACGAAAAAAUGUGUAAGAAACUCUCCACGUCUUGACGGUACCUACUCAGAAAGCCACGGCUAACUACGUG
rnacentral:rRNA from 1 species